GAUGAGCUUCUCUCUCGAUCUAUUCAAUAUGGUGGUCAGUCAAGAAAUGUUUUUGCUUGCAAAAAGAUCGUAAAAUGUUGGCGCUACAAGCUCGGAAAAGAUUGUAAAUGAGAUCAGGCUUUUUUAGCUUUACCAUCAUCACAGGAUAACAAGAAGGAAGCAUCGAAACAAAUUCAAAGAUGACUAAUUUUAACAUGGUGGAUACGAAAGUCCUUCCUUGAAAACCUACUUCAGUCAUUGAUUAAAAGUCCAGCGAGAAAUAAAGUGAAAGGCGCGUAGAUUUGAAAACCACGAGAUUGUUUUUGCCAAUGUUUUGAUCUGAGGGUUUAAAGAAUCACUUUUACAAUUGAAACUGGAAUGCAAUGAUAAGAAAGGGAAAUGUGGAAUAAAUGCCUGGAAAGACAAUAUAAACUAUAAUUUGAAACUGGAAUGCAAUGAUAAGAAAGGGAAAUAAACUAUUGCUAAAGCUAAAGAACCACUGAAGCUAAAGAAUUGAGAUACAACAAUCUUUGACUGACUUUAGGUGUAAGACGUUCGCCCAGCUAUUGUAGAUCGCAUGGAAUCGAUUCAAGUCCUUUAAAAAUUUGUCAAUCAAGAUGAGAAUGAACUUAGUGAAUCUAUAGGUGGCGAUCGAAGGUGGACAGCAAGAUCGAAGCUCAGCAAGAUUGAAGAUUGUUCGAGGAAGAAGGAGUUCGCCGUUGACUAAAAGGUUUAUCUGAACAGCUAUUUGUCAAGAUGAACGUGAAGAGAAAAAAGAUGAGAAUAGAAGACUCGCCCGGCCAAAUUCAAAAUGGCGAUGCCAAAGAAAACCAUCCACGUGGACCGUUCGCGGACCUUUCUGAGCAAGAUUGUUGUGCUGUCUGGUCAAAGUUAAGUAUUUUACUUUGUCUUUGAUGUUUGUGUGCCUUCUGCUAAUUGUUGGCCAGAAAUGACAAAAAGCCAUAUACAAUAUGAAAUAUUCUGCGUACAAGGUUAUCUAAAGUUUCGAGCUUAAUUCUGCCUGCAAUGAUGAUAAUUUUUUACUGAAAAUUUAUGUCAUGAGCAAUUUCCGCACCUAUAGACUGAAGCAGAACUGAACAUUUUGUCAUUAACGUUUAUCUCAACAGCCAGUUAUCAAGACGAACGUCAAGAGAACAGUUGAAAU